rnacentral:rRNA from 1 species
ACAGGCAUUCCCUAGUAGCGGCGAGCGAAGCGGGAAGAGCUCAAAUUUAUAAUCUGGCACCUUCGGUGUCCGAGUUGUWAUCUCUAGAAAUGUUUUCCGCGUUGGACCGCACACWAGUCUGUUGGAAUACAGCGGCAUAGUGGUGAGACCCCCGUAUAUGGWGCGGACGCCCAGCGCUUUGUGAUACAUUUUCSAAGAGUCKAGUUGUUUGGGAAUGCAGCUCARAUUGGGUGGUAAAUUCCAUCUAAAGCUAAAUAUUGGCGAGAGACCGAUAGCGAACAAGUACCGUGAGGGAAAGAUGAAAAGCACUUUGGAAAGAGAGUUAACAGUACGUGAAAUUGUKGGAAGGGAAACGCUUGAAGUCRGACUUGCUUGCCGAGCAAUCGGUUUGCAGGCCAGCAUCWKUUUUCCGGGAUGGAUAAYGGUAKASAGAAGGKAGCARUUUCGGCUGUGUUAUAGCUCUCUGCUGGAWACRUCUUGGGGGACUGAGGAACGCASUGUGCCUUUUGGMGGGGGUUUCRACCUCUUCRCACUUAGGAUGCUGGUGGAAUGGCUUUMAACGACCCGYCUUGAAAAMMSGGACCA